CCCACCUCCUCGGGAGAGGUCACCUGGGGACAGCCCAUCCCUGAGACCAGACUUCCUGACUUCUGCCAUUCCUUAUCUACCGAGAGCAGAUGGUUAUCUGUGGGACAAAUUGUCUAGAGGCUCACGUCGUCCAGUGAUCCCAC